rnacentral:lncRNA from 1 species
CUUUAUUUCUGCAUAGAAUUUUAUCUAACUUUGACCAUACCAAUAGAAGAGGACAGAGAAAGGGCGCCACAGAUAGAAGACUGUGAAGAAGGCCUUUGGCCAAAUCCACAAAGAAGAACCCAGCUCACUCACCUGCUUUUUCAAAACUGGACUUCCUUUCACUAAAAUCCCUUGAAUUUGUUACUUGUAGAACUUUAGGCCUAGGAAAAUAAUGUGUAUAUCUACCAAUGACCUAGCUGAACUACUGGAACUUUCUGCAGCAUCUUGCCUCAUAGUUGGGUGGGGAGGAGUGGGAGGUAAAGAGGGAGUUUGGUGGGACUGGUACAGUCAUAUCUGGCAAUUAGGGGAGGAAAUCAUGUUUGCAAUCCUUGAGCUAAUGGUAUAGCAAAGCUGUGAAUUUGUUCAUGAUUAAAGCUGGCAAGAGAGUUCUUGCUGAAGGCAAUGAAACAGUGAAGGCCAGAGGGAAGAGCCAGCACAGAGAGUUGUGGAGUCUUGCACUGCUGCACAUGGUAUGAUGAACAUGAUUCUGCUGUGGCUGCUGGGUAAUCCUUGUUGUCUCUGCCCUGGGCAAGGGUUUCCUCUGAAGGGUAAGAUCAACCCUUGCAUCAGCCUUUGAGGAAGUCAGGUGCUAUUGUGGGAAAAAGGAUGGGAAAUUGUCCCCAGGCCUGUAGCAGAGGGAGCUCGUACCUGG